AUGGCAUUCGUGCUUGUUAUUUCCCUGUACUUGUACUUCAGGUCCAGUAGUAGAUCAAACAAUCGGCUUCCCACAAACUGGCCAGUAGUUCACAUGUUGCCUUCAUUCAUUACCAACAUCUAGAACAUGCAUGACUAUUUCGCUGCCGGCCUCGCCGAAGUUGGCCACAACUUCAGGGUACAUAUACCCCAAAGGAAUAUUUUCCUAACUUGCGACCCUGCGAACGUCCGUCACAUCUUCACGACAAACUAUACAAACUUUCCGAAGAGCCCGGAGUUUGGAGCCAUCUUUGAUAUAAUGGAUGGAGGCAUCUUCACCAUCAAUGAUGAGCCAUGGCGUCAGCAGCGCGCAAAAUUCUAGAGCAUGCUCAGCAGCCCACGGUUGGUUGCCACUAUGGCGGCUUGCUGCCGUGACAAGGUGGAGAAUGGCCUCCUCCCCUUGUUUACCCACAUGUAGAGCACUAGCACUUCAUUUGACAUGCAAGAAGUGCUUUCAAGGUUUGUAUUUGACCUGUCUGCCAAGCGUCUGUUCGGCGUAGACCCUGGCCUUCUGUCCUUGGAAAUGCCGCCCAUGGACGUUGGGGUCGCCAUGGACACGGUCAUGGAAGUAGGCUUUUUCCGGCACGUCAUAGCAGCCUCAUGCUGGAAGGCUAUGAGGAGGCUAAACAUUGGCCCUGAGAAAAAGCUCAAUGCGGCACACAAGGUGAUACGAGAGUUCUUCAUGGAGAUGAUCGAGAGGAAAAAGAUCAAUGGAGCACCUGUUUGUAAUGACGGGGAGCAAGAGCGUGUGGACAUUUUGUUUUCCUACAUCAAUGACCCAGACUACGCUGACAAUGACUUGCUCCGUGCAAAUCUCGUUAGCCAAAUGCUUGCUCGGAGGUACACAAUUGGCACUACCUUGCCAUGGAUCUUCUACAACCUCGCCCAAAAACCUAGUGUUGUGUCAACCAUCCGCAUUGAACUCUCACCCGUAUCACACAAAGUAGCCACGGGUGCAAGUGCCAUGAUGAUCUUUGAACCAGAGGAGACCAAAUCUUUGGUCUCUCUGAAAGCUGCUUUAUAUGAGACUCUGAGGUUGUACCCAUCGGCGCCAAUAGAGCGCAAGAUAGUGGCUGCCGAUGAUAUCAUGCCGAGUGGCCAUAAAGUGCACGCCAGCGACACCGUACUUAUUUCUCUCCACUCCAUGGGGAGAAUGGAGGACAUAUGGGGUAAAGACUGCAACGACUAUAACCCACAAAGGUGGCUCUCGAAGGACGGAAGCAAACUGAGGUAUAUACCAUCUCACAAGUUCUUGUCCAUCAACUCGGGCCCGAGGAUGUGCCCCGGAAAUGAUAUCGCUGUUCUGCAGAUGAAAGCCUUUGUCGCCUUAGUGGUGUGGAACUUCGAUUUAGAGGUGGUGGAAGGACAAAGCAUCCAACCCAAGUUGUCUUGUACACUGCGGAUGAAAAAUGGGCUCAUGAUGGUGUUGAAGCGAGCAACAUAA
rnacentral:rRNA from 1 species